GGCCUAUUAACUCAGUUCGUUAGAGCGUUGCAGUAGUAAUGCGAAGGUCGCAGGUUCGAGACCUUCAUGGGCCA
rnacentral:tRNA from 1 species